rnacentral:rRNA from 1 species
UACGGAGGGUGCGAGCGUUGUCCGGAAUCACUGGGCGUAAAGGGCGCGUAGGUGGCGACUCAAGUCAACGGUGAAAGCUCGACGCUCAACGUCGAGUCGGCCGUCGAAACUGGGACGCUUGAGCACUGUAGAGGCAGAUGGAAUUCCGGGUGUAGCGGUGGAAUGCGUGAGAGUACGCGAAGAACACCGGUGGCGAAGGCGGUCUGCUGGGCAGUUGCUGACACUGAUGCGCGACAGCGUGGGAGCAACAGG